AGAGUUUGAUCAUGGCUCAGAUUGAACGCUGGCGGCAGGCUUAACACAUGCAAGUCGAGCGGGGAAAUGUAGCUUGCUACAUCCUAGCGGCGGACGGGUGAGUAAUGCUUAGGAAUCUGCCUAUUAGUGGGGGACAACAUCUCGAAAGGGAUGCUAAUACCGCAUACGUCCUACGGGAGAAAGCAGGGGACCUUCGGGCCUUGCGCUAAUAGAUGAGCCUAAGUCGGAUUAGCUAGUUGGUGGGGUAAAGGCCUACCAAGGCGACGAUCUGUAGCGGGUCUGAGAGGAUGAUCCGCCACACUGGGACUGAGACACGGCCCAGACUCCUACGGGAGGCAGCAGUGGGGAAUAUUGGACAAUGGGGGGAACCCUGAUCCAGCCAUGCCGCGUGUGUGAAGAAGGCCUUUUGGUUGUAGAGCACUUUAAGCGAGGAGGAGGCUACCGAGAUUAAUACUCUUGGAUAGUGGACGUUACUCGCAGAAUAAGCACCGGCUAACUCUGUGCCAGCAGCCGCGGUAAUACAGAGGGUGCAAGCGUUAAUCGGAUUUACUGGGCGUAAAGCGCGCGUAGGUGGCCAAUUAAGUCAAAUGUGAAAUCCCCGAGCUUAACUUGGGAAUUGCAUUCGAUACUGGUUG
rnacentral:rRNA from 1 species